rnacentral:sRNA from 1 species
UUAUCUCUCUAGCUAUCUUUUACAAUUAAAAUGGGAAUGUGUGUCUCUCUAUCUGUCUCUUAGAAUGGGAAUGUGUGUGUCUCUAUCUUUAGGUCUCUUAAUGUGGGAAUGUGUGUCUAUCUAUCUAACUGUCUCUUAGAAUGAGAAUGUGUGUGUGUCUCUCUCUAGCUGUGUCUUAAAGUGGUAAUAUGUGUCUCUCUAUCUUGAUGUCUCUUAAUGUGGGAAUGUGUGUCUUUCUGUCUUUAUAUGAGAAAAGAGUCCUUGUAAUCACAACAAAUUUCCAUAAGGAUCAAUAAAGCAGUCUUAGUCUUAUCUAGCUGUCUCUAUAGUUGUCACAAAUUAACAGUAUCCACGCAACUGAAAAAAAAUCCCAAUUACGGGACAUGUAGUCCGGCUCCCCUAACGAUUGUGCGAUCUAGCAGUCUUUUAAUGGGAAUGUUUUUUUUUUUCUCUCUCUCUCUCUAGCUGUCUCCCUCUGACUAUCUCUCUUGGUGUUAUCUUGUUAUCUCUCGCUCUCUCUCUCUCUUUAAAAUCAACAAUUAGAACUAGAAAGAUAUAUAAACUAACACACACACACACCUACACAAAUACACACAUACACUAGCACACAUUAACACAUGCACUUAAACACAUGCACACACACACACAGUUCCCCAACACAGAAACAUAACCAAGGACUCCCUUUUAAACAUUUCCAAUAAAAGCUAAUUCUAGGAAAUACAGACUUCAAAGAAGGCCAACAACUCUUAAAGAUCAAUUCUCUAUAGACCAUGUCAUCGACAUAACUCUUAGUCCGGGAAGUAACUCUAUUUUCUAAAGUCUAGCUUAUGAAAGAUUAUGUUCACAAUAUUUUGCGCCCAUGAUUAGCUCCUGGUAAAACUUUGCUAUUGCGAUCCGGUUUCUUUUUCUUCUUUGUUCUCACGUUUUAUGUUGAAGGAUUCAGACCAGUAGUUCUCAGAUGAGCCGCGCAGUGGUUUCCAGAUCAGUAAGUGUAAGUUAGGGCGGCGUGAUGUGUUGUUCAGUGGGCAGAAUAAAAGUAUUGCAUUAUGACAGCCGGCAACAGUGGCUCACAAUCCCAGCUACAGAUUUUGUUAAUUAAUGAAGUUCUCAAAGGAUCCAAUUACAAUGAUUCAUUCCCCUGGAGACAGGAACUCUUCUGAGCGAAUUGC